rnacentral:rRNA from 1 species
UUAAAUUGAAGAGUUUGAUCAUGGCUCAGAUUGAACGCUGGCGGCAGGCCUAACACAUGCAAGUCGAACGGUAACAGGAAGCAGCUUGCUGCUUUGCUGACGAGUGGCGGACGGGUGAGUAAUGUCUGGGAAACUGCCUGAUGGAGGGGGAUAACUACUGGAAACGGUAGCUAAUACCGCAUAACGUCGCAAGACCAAAGAGGGGGACCUUCGGGCCUCUUGCCAUCGGAUGUGCCCAGAUGGGAUUAGCUUGUUGGUGGGGUAACGGCUCACCU